rnacentral:piRNA from 1 species
CAAACCCAAAAUGACAAUGCACGAC